AUCCCUGUAGCGCAAUGAGUAGCGUGUUGGACUUCUACUCCACAGGUCAUGGCUUCGAAUUCCACCUGGGAUG